rnacentral:rRNA from 1 species
AGGGUUUGAUCAUGGCUCAGAUUGAACGCUGGUGGUAUGCUUAACACAUGCAAGUCGAACGGUAACAUUGGAGCUUGCUCCAGAUGACGAGUGGCGGACGGGUGAGUAACGCGUAGGAAUCUGCCUAGUAGUGGGGGACAACAUGUGGAAACGCAUGCUAAUACCGCAUACGCCCUACGGGGGAAAGCGGGGGAUCUUCGGACCUCGCGCUAUUAGAUGAGCCUGCGUUAGAUUAGCUUGUUGGUGGGGUAAUGGCCUACCAAGGCGACGAUCUAUAGCUGGUCUGAGAGGACGAUCAGCCACACUGGGACUGAGACACGGCCCAGACUCCUACGGGAGGCAGCAGUGGGGAAUAUUGGACAAUGGGCGCAAGCCUGAUCCAGCAAUACCACGUGUGUGAAGAAGGCCUGAGGGUUGUAAAGCACUUUCAAUUGGGAGGAAAACAGCUGGGUUAAUAGCCCUGCUCUUGACAUUACCUUUAGAAGAAGCACCGGCUAACUCCGUGCCAGCAGCCGCGGUAAUACGGAGGGUGCGAGCGUUAAUCGGAAUUACUGGGCGUAAAGCGUACGUAGGCGGUUAUUUAAGUCAGAUGUGAAAGCCCCGGGCUCAACCUGGGAACUGCAUUUGAAACUGGAUAACUAGAG